UGACCUCAAAUCAGGUAGACUGCCCAAU
rnacentral:rRNA from 1 species